AUUGAGCGCUGGCGGAAUGCUUUAUACAUGCAAGUCGAACGGCAGCACGGGGGCAACCCUGGUGGCGAGUGGCGAACGGGUGAGUAAUACAUCGGAACGUGCCCGGUCGUGGGGGAUAACGUAGCGAAAGUUACGCUAAUACCGCAUACGAUCUGAGGAUGAAAGCGGGGGACCUUCGGGCCUCGCGCGAUCGGAGCGGCCGAUGUCAGAUUAGGUAGUUGGUGGGGUAAAGGCCUACCAAGCCGACGAUCUGUAGCUGGUCUGAGAGGACGACCAGCCACACUGGGACUGAGACACGGCCCAGACUCCUACGGGAGGCAGCAGUGGGGAAUUUUGGACAAUGGGCGCAAGCCUGAUCCAGCCAUUCCGCGUGCAGGACGAAGGCCUUCGGGUUGUAAACUGCUUUUGUAUGGAACGAAAAGGCUCUGGCUAAUACCUGGGGCUCAUGACGGUACCGUAAGAAUAAGCACCGGCUAACUACGUG
rnacentral:rRNA from 1 species